rnacentral:rRNA from 1 species
GGCAGCACGGGAGUAGCAAUACAACUGGUGGCGACCGGCGCACGGGUGAGUAACGCGUAUGCAACCUAUCUAUCAGAGGGGAAUAACCCGGCGAAAGUCGGACUAAUACCGCAUAAAACAGGGGCACCGCAUGGUGAUAUUUGUUAAAGAAAUUCGCUGAUAGAUGGGCAUGCGUUCCAUUAGGUAGUUGGUGAGGUAACGGCUCACCAAGCCGACGAUGGAUAGGGGAACUGAGAGGUUGGUCCCCCACACUGGUACUGAGACACGGACCAGACUCCUACGGGAGGCAGCAGUGAGGAAUAUUGGUCAAUGGGCGAGAGCCUGAACCAGCCAAGUCGCGUGAAGGAAGAAGGAUCUAUGGUUCGUAAACUUCUUUUGCAGGGGAAUAAAGUGCGGGACGUGUCCUGUUUUGUAUGUACCCUGAGAAUAAGGAUCGGCUAACUCCGUGCCAGCAGCCGCGGUAAUACGGAGGAUCCGAGCGUUAUCCGGAUUUAUUGGGUUUAAAGGGUGCGUAGGUGGUUUUAUAAGUCAGCGGUGAAAGUUUGCAGCUUAACUGUAAAAAUGCCGUUGAAACUGUAAGACUUGAGUGUAAAUGAGGUAGGCGGAAUGCGUGGUGUAGCGGUGAAAUGCAUAGAUAUCACGAAGAACUCCGAUUG